GCCCCAGACUUUAUUUUUUAAGAACAACUUUAGAUUUACAGAAAAGUUGAGAAGAUAGUACUGGGUUUGCAUAUAUCUGCACCCAGAUUCCCCUAUUAGCAACAUUUUACAAUAGUAUGAAGCACUGAAGAGCAUGAUUGAGCAAACCCCCAAAUGAUGACUUCCCAAGACCCCGAAAGGGUCUGAAACUCCAAGUCACUCCAAGGAACGUCUGCCUUUCUUUCUCCGGGGCUAUCCACCUGAUACCACCACAACCAGUUGAAAGAGAAUACCUUUAAGAACAGCUGGAAGGAACCAACCGCCAAACUUCAACCGGCACUGAGGUUUCUGGAACUCCUCAUACCAACAUUCUGUCCUACCAAAGAGUGAAUAUUGAAGUAUGCCACAUCUCUGCAAUGAAUGACCCCCACGUCUGUUAGGAAGUUUCUGCGAUUCCAUCCAUAGAC